GCUUAGAGCACCAUCCAACCUGGCCUUGAACACUUCCAAGGAUGGAGCACCCACAACUUCUCUGAGCAACAUGUUGCAGUGCCUGACCACCCUCACAAUUAAUGCCUGGAUUAUUACCUGGAGAAAAGGAGGCUCAGAGGAGACCUUAUCACUCUGUACAACCACCUGGAAGGAGGUUGUAGCCAGAUGAGGGUUGGCCUCAUCUCCCAGGAAACUAGAGACAGGACAAGAGGACAUGGCCUCAAGCUGUGCCAGGGGAGGUUCAGGUUGGACAUCAGGAAGAAUUUCCUUAUGGAAGGGGUUGUGAAGCAUUGGAAUAGAUUGCCCAGGAAGGUGGUGGAGUCACAAUCCCUGGAGGUGUUCAAGAAACAACUGGAUGAGAAUGUUUCCCUACCUUACUGGAUGAAGACUCUUUUACUACACUGUCAUUAAACGUGUAAUAAACAGCCAAGGUCAAGGUAAUGGAAGUA